AGUCUAUCGUGUGGACAUUUUCUUAGCACAUCUCUAAAUCUUUCUCAUGCUUCAUACAAUGAUUCACCCUCUUGUUGGAUAAAAUUAGUUAUGUUCAUUAUAAAUUU